AUUGAACGCUGGUGGAAUGCUUUACACAUGCAAGUCGAACAGCAGCACGGACUUCGGUCUGGUGGCGAGUGUCGAACGGGUGAGUAAUGUAUCGGAACGUGCCCAGUCGUGGGGGAUAACGUAGUGAAAAUUACGCUAAUACCGCAUACGAUCUAUGGAUGAAAGCGGGGGAUCGCAAGACCUCGCGCGAUUGGAGCGGCCGAUAUCAGAUUAGGUAGUUGGUGGGGUAAAGGCCCACCAAGCCAACGAUCUGUAGAUGGUCUGAGAGGACGAACAUACACACGGGAACUGAGACUCGGUCCAGACACCUACGGGAGGCAGCAGUGGGGAAUUUUGGACAAUGGGCGAAAGCCUGAUCCAGCCAUUCCGCGUGCAGGAUGAAGGCCCUCGGGUUGGAAACUGCUUUUGUACAGAACGAAAAGGUUUCUACUAAUACUAGGAGCUCAUGACGGUACUGUAAGAAUAAGCACCGGCUAACUACGUGCCAGCAGCCGCAGUAA
rnacentral:rRNA from 1 species